GGCCGCGGGCAGUGGGCGGGGAGGCUUCCCCACGCCUGCGGGCCCCUCGCACUUGGGAGCCGGGGACGGUGGCGCCCCAGUCCCCAAGGCCUCGGGAGCCUGGGCCCAGGCGAUGGUUCCUACCGCGGCAAGAGGCAGCCGGGGCCUGAGGGCCCCAGCGGCCCCCACCCAUUGGGCCUGGGCAGCGAUUUCCACAUUGUCUACGGUUGACUUCUUUUAGCCAAGAUGUCAGUGAAUCCUAUGGCAUAUGAAGCCCAGUUCUUUGGUUUUACCCCUCAGACAUGUAUGCUUAGGGUCUACAUUGCAUUUCAAGACUACCUGUUUGAAAUGAUGCUGGUUGUGGAAAGAGUCAUUCUGAAGAAACUAGAAGGUUGUCCUGACUCUAAGAUCAGUCCAUUCCAAAUCCGUAAGAGCACAGAGAAAUUUCUUCUCUUCAUGAAGGAGCGCUUUGAUCACCUCUUCAGCAAAAUGGAACAAAUGCUUUUGCAGUUGGUGUUAAACAUCCCUAAAAAUGUUUUACUUCCUGAAGACAAGGUCCAUGAGCAGUACCCCUACAGUAAGGAACAGUUUCAAACUCUUCACGGUGAAAUUGAUCAACUACAGAAACAAUACAAGGUUGAAGUGUCUGCUGGACAGACCCUUUUAGCAGAAUUAGAAGAACAGAAAAUGGUUCAGGCAGAACUUGAGAAGACCCUCCAGUGGUUUGAUGGGCUUGAGAACAUAUGCAGAGAGCACGGGACUAGCAAUUUAAAGGAAAGCUUUGCAUUCUUGACGCAAACGGCUAAGAAACUGCAAGAUAUACUAAAGGAAGUUGAAAAGAAAAACAAAAGAUUGCAAAAUAGUAAUCUCCAUGUAGUGUAAAGGAAGUACUGAAAGGGCAGCAGAGAAACCAAUAAGACAAUACUUUUGUCACAAUACAUUUUUUGAGGAUCCCUCUUCCUUGCCAUACCAGGUUUUGACUGAAAGCUGGUGAGUGCAAUAUUCUGGCAAACCAUCAUUUUCCCCUCCUGAAUUCUAUAAAUACUGCAUAGAUAUUUCUUUAAGUAAAUAAUUAUACCCCCUGAAGAAUGUCUAAAUGAAUUGUCUGAAUGGUAGAAGUGCAGAUGCAAAAUAAGUGCAUUGUAAUGAAGACUUCAAUUCUCUGCACUAGUUCAUUUAAGCAACCUUAGUAGAUAGGAAGCUUUUUCUUUAAUGUACAAUAGGUUAGAAGCAUUUUAAUCUUAAACUAUUUUUUGGAAGUCAAGACUUGUCAGUAUUGAAAUGUUCCAUUUAGAAAUGUAAGCAUGUGACAUCAUAGUAAAACUUAGGCCUUGAGGAGAAAUACAUUUAUAAAUGUUGGAGUUGGAAUUAAUCUAGACAAUGGUGAGUGGUUUCUAAAACGGAGGGGUUAGUUAUUACUUCCAGUAUUUAAAAAAAAAAAAAUUGGUUGAUAUGCUGAAGGAGUUAACAAAGACAGGACAGAGGGCCUGGAUCUUUCCUGUUUCUAGUGGGAGUAUUUCACAAAUAUUAAUCAGUAGUCACAAACCUAUGUACAGUAGGUGAUUAUACCAAUUUUGCAAACGAAUAGUUAGUUUUGCUCUGAGCAGGAGGUGCACACUGUACAGUGCUGUGUCUGAUAAGAGACAGAUAUGAGCUACAGCAGAAUAACUCAAGACUCUGGACUGCUUUGAAAGUUUUCUUGCACCAUAGUAUUUAUUGUAGUGUCAGCACAGCAUUAUACAUUGUGUGACUCUUGCUAAAAGCAAAACUUAGUUUGCCUAGCUAUACAAUGGAUAUACUCACCUACCUUACAUGGGUGUUGUGAGGACUGAUUAAUAUUUGUGAAGUCCUUUGAGGUCCUUGAAUUAAGCUUACUUUAUAUGGACUUGUUGCACAAUCCAUCAAAAUAAAUGUGAAUCUUUUCAUUGACUUCAGUGCCUUUUGGAUCAGCCCUUAUUUGCAUAUUAGUACAGUAAAAAGAAGCUUAACUUUUACAGGGGCAAAACUUCCUUACUUUUUAAAAGAUACUUGCUUGAACGAUGUUUAACUUCUGUAUAACUUGAGAGCUACUUAAAAAUUAUACAUAAAGUGACAAAAUAUAUUUUUUCAAUGCAUUCUGAAACUAUACUAUGAAAUAUUCUAUGAAAUAUUCUAUGCUAAUCUAUGAAAUUUGUCAAAUACCUGAGGAUUUCUGGAUCAGCUCAAUAUGCUCAAAGAACAGGUCAACAAAUUUGAAGUGUCCACUGAUUUUGUGAGCCCAGUGUGACAUUUUGUGACUCACCUUGGGCACCCAAAGUCAGUGUCCACAUCUGAAAAUUUGGCCAAAGACGUUAACUUUUAAUGUUUAACGCUAGUCUUUGUGUGAACUAACGUGCAUUAAAUAACACCUAAAGAUUUUCUAAUGGAAAUCAUUGUAAAGUAUCUUAUUUAGAGACUCAUUUUGUAUAUAUACUUAAAACAUUGUUUAUUUAUCUGCAUUUUUUUAUCAGUAAAAUCUGAGUGUUCAUUUCCCCACUACUCAUUCUUACAUGUAGUAAGCUUCUGUGCUACUGUAUGGCUGCAGCUAAAACUAUAGUUAGAGGAUUAGGAACAGAUACUGAAUAAGCAGAUUAGUUUUUAAGAUGCAGCUUAGGCUGUCUUUUAUAAAUAAAGUACAUAGUUAAACACAACUUUUUCUUCCCCCAAACUGCAAAGGCUACGGCCCAUACUUUGAACUAAACAUGCCAGUUUAUGAAAAGUCAUUCAUCUGUCACUUUGUAGAACUUGCAUCCUUUUACCGUAUUCUUCUAUUAAGAGUGUGAUUUAAGUGACAAGUAAAUAAACAUUCCAAUAACUCAUAAGAUAGUGUGAUGCAAUUUACUGUUACUGUGCUAGAAAAAUCUCAUUCAAAAAUCUUCAUUGCUAAUGCAAUUUUUUUCAGCAAUAUGACAACAACAAAUCUGUGGAUAUUGUUUUGUCAGACAGCCCCAAGGGAGUUUAGUUUUCAUUCUGAACAACAGUGAAUGUUAAUUGGAAAUCUACUGCAGGACAAAAAAAUUAAAUUGGUAAUUUAAAUAUAAAAUUAAGUAAACAUGUGGAUGUCAAUAGUAGGAGUACAGUAAUACAGACAUUUGGCAAGGCAGGAGAUGAAGAAUACAGAUACCAUCUUUUCUUCAGGGUACAAUUAAAAGCUCCUUUCUGAGCCUUACAAAUCUACUGUGUGCUUAUUUAAAUAGGUCCAUAAAACAGGAGCUAUAGCAUAAUCAACAAUUACGUUGAUUUUUUUAUAGUAAGAAAUAAAAAAAAAGUCCAUGUGGGGACAGGGAGUGGUAGGUGAAGACACCCCCCCCUCCCCAAAUGAGACUGAUAGUGUUUAUCAUUCAUUGCUAGUAAUGUCAGCAUUUCCCCAAGGAGUGGAUCCUUCCUUAAAUAUCCCAUGGACUAAGGAGGGAUUACUUUUUUAAAAACAAGGAUGAUGUUUUGAGUAAUAUAAUGAUAAAUAGUGCUGAGGAUAGGGACUGGCUUGGGAUAAAAUGAGUACCUUUUAUAGAUACUCUAUAAUGGUGGGUUUUAAAGCUGUUCACCAAAUACAUAUUCUUCAAGCUGGAUAAGAAAAGCAAAACACUCUAACUUUAACUGCACUUUACUAUGAUUUUAACCUCACAAACAAUGGGUAUCUUGAAUUUUGUGCACAAACACAUUCAAAUAGAUUAAAAAAUAAAUCAAUCAUGGGGUUUAACCCUGCUAAAGGUGGUUGGUUUACUGGGUCAUCCAAACUCCUUACUAAUAUAAAGUUGUGUCCUCAGAUAGACCUGAGAGGUUUGUUGUCCAUCUAUUUUAUCAGGUUACAGAAUGUUCUCUUCUUUUAAGUGAAACAAUGUUAAAAAAACCCAGCCAGAAUGUUAACGUUUUUGGGAAGUUUGCAGGAGAUACAUUUCUACAUGUAACCUUAUGCAGACUGUAUAUAUUUUACCUUUCUCUGCAAUAAAGAUACAUUUGAAACACU